rnacentral:rRNA from 1 species
UACAGAGGGUGCUAGCGUUGUUCGGAAUUACUGGGCGUAAAGGGCUCGUAGGCGGCCAACUAAGUCGGAUGUGAAAUCCCCAGGCUUAACCUGGGAACUGCAUCCGAUACUGGAUGGCUUGAAUCCGGGAGAGGGAUGCAGAAUUCCAGGUGUAGCGGUGAAAUGCGUAGAUAUCUGGAGGAAUACCGGUGGCGAAGGCGGCAUCCUGGACCGGCAUUGACGCUGAGUGAGCGAAAGCCAGGGGAGCAAACGGG